rnacentral:rRNA from 1 species
AAAGAAACUAACAAGGAUUCCCCUAGUAACUGCGAGUGAAGCGGGAAAAGCUCAAAUUUAAAAUCUUGGUGGUCUUUGGCCAAUCCGAGUUGUAAUUUAGAGAAGCGUCUUCCGCGCUGGACCGUGCACAAGUCUCCUGGAAUGGAGCGUCAUAGAGGGUGAGAAUCCCGUCUUUGGCACGGACACGCCAGGGCUUUUGUGAUGCGCUCUCGAAGAGUCGAGUUGUUUGGGAAUGCAGCUCAAAAUGGGUGGUGAACUCCAUCUAAAGCUAAAUAUUGGCGAGAGACCGAUAGCGAACAAGUACCGUGAGGGAAAGAUGAAAAGCACUUUGGAAAGAGAGUGAAACAGUACGUGAAAUUGUUGAAAGGGAAACGCUUGAAGUCAGUCGCGUCGACCGAGACUCAGCCUCGCCUUGGCUUGGUGUAAUUCUCGGCUGACGGGUCAGCAUCAAUUUUGCCUCUUGGAUAAUGGCGAGGGGAAUGUGACACCUUUACGGUGUGUUAUAGUCUCUCGUCGCAUGCAAGGGUUGGGAUUGAGGAACUCAGCACGCGCCUUUGGGUGUCGGGGUUAUGCCCACGAUACGUGCUUAGGAUGUUGGCGUAAUGGCUUUAAACGACCCGUCUUGAAACACGGACCA